CCAGACUCCUACGGGAGGCAGCAGUGGGGGAUAUUGCACAAUGGGGGAAACCCUGAUGCAGCGACGCCGCGUGAGUGAAGAAGUAUUUCGGUAUGUAAAGCUCUAUCAGCAGGGAAGAAAUAGCGACCUUUGGGUCGCCAGACGGUACCUGACUAAGAAGCCCCGGCUAACUACGUGCCAGCAGCCGCGGUAAUACGUAGGGGGCAAGCGUUAUCCGGAUUUACUGGGUGUAAAGGGAGCGUAGACGGCGAUACAAGUCUGAAGUGAAAGCCCGGGGCUCAACCCCGGGACUGCUUUGGAAACUGUGUUGCUGGAGUGCUGGAGAGGCAAGCGGAAUUUCUAGUGUAGCGGUGAAAUGCGUAGAUAUUAGGAAGAACACCAGUGGCGAAGGCGGCUUGCUGGACAGUAACUGACGUUGAGGCUCGAAAGCGUGGGUAUCGAACAGGAUUAGAUACCCCCGUAAC
rnacentral:rRNA from 1 species